GAUGAACGCUGGCGGCGUGCCUAAUACAUGCAAGUCGAGCGAACAGAUGAGGAGCUUGCUUCUCUGACGUUAGCGGCGGACGGGUGAGUAACACGUGGAUAACCUACCUAUAAGACUGGGAUAACUUCGGGAAACCGGAGCUAAUACCGGAUAAUAUUUUGAACCGCAUGGUUCAAUAGUGAAAGACGGUUUUGCUGUCACUUAUAGAUGGAUCCGCGCUGCAUUAGCUAGUUGGUAAGGUAACGGCUUACCAAGGCAACGAUGCGUAGCCGACCUGAGAGGGUGAUCCGCCACACUGGAACUGAGACACGGUCCAGACUCCUACGGGAGGCAGCAGUAGGGAAUCUUCCGCAAUGGGCGAAAGCCUGACGGAGCAACGCCGCGUGAGUGAUGAAGGUCUUCGGAUCGUAAAACUCUGUUAUUAGGGAAGAACAAAUGUGUAAGUAACUAUGCACGUCUUGACGGUACCUAAUCAGAAAGCCACGGCUAACUACGUG
rnacentral:rRNA from 1 species